CGGCGAUCACGGAUCGACGAAGGCCGUGCGUCAGGCUCAGACCGGUAUAGAAGCUUGAAGGAAACAUCAACUCGCUUGCAUCAAAAUUAAAUCUGCAUACCGAAGAUGGAAGAAAAUAGGGAAGGCUUGAUUUCUAGUCUUUUACCUCAAGUUGGCAUGGAGUUCAAUACUAUAGAUGAGGCCUGGAUGUUUUGGAUUAGCUAUGGGGGUCAAAAAGGCUUUGAGGUGAGAAAAAUGUACACAAACAAAAGAAAGUCAGAUGGGAAAGUUAGGUCCUGCAGAUAUGUUUGUGCAAAUGAGGGGCAUAGAAAGAAAGAUAAAAGGGAUCAUCUAACAAAGUGUCCAAGAGCUGAAACUAGAACUAAUUGUCAGGUUCGCAUGGGUCUUAUAAUGGAUCGGGAGAAGGAAACUUAUAAAGUUGCUGAUUUGAUUUUGGAACACAAUCACAUGCUUCAGUUGCCACAAACCUCGCACUUGAUGGUGUCUCAAAGAAAAAUUUCAGAGUUACAAGGUUUUGAAAUUGAAACAGCUGACGAUGCAGGAAUUGGGCCCAAAGCAGCACAUGAGUUGGCGUGUGUGCAAGUUGGUGGUUCAUCCAAUCUCAGUUAUACUCUUCGUGAUCACAAGAAUUAUUUA